rnacentral:rRNA from 1 species
UACAGAGGGUGCAAGCGUUAAUCGGAUUUACUGGGCGUAAAGCGUGCGUAGGCGGUUCGUUAAGUCGGUUGUGAAAUCCCUGGGCUUAACCUGGGAACUGCAGUCGAUACUGAUGAACUAGAGUGCGGUAGAGGGUGGCGGAACUCCGGGUGUAGCGGUGAAAUGCGUAGAUAUCCGGAAGAACACCGAUGGCGAAGGCAACCACCUGGGCCUGCACUGACGCUGAGGUACGAAAAGCGUGGGGAGCAAACAGG